UGUGUCUCGUUGUCAUGUCUAUUUAGUCCUUGUCUUCCCAGUCACCUUUGUCUGAGCGUCUGCAUUUUUCCCUCUAUGCCAUGCCAGGAUCUGCAUUUUUUACCCAUGACAUGCCAGGAAUUUUUGCUAUGCUUUUUGCCAGGAAUUUUUGCCACAGUAGGUGUGUUAUUUGAGUUUAGUUUUGUUUAAUAAAAGACCAUUGUUUUUGGACCUCCACCUCGCCUGCUCCUUUUGACUCUGCAUCGGGGUUCAGUAAAUUUCUGCGUCAGCGACGCCGAACCAAUCGUGACACUGGAUUGUUGUGUCAGUUUAUUUAUCUAACUCAGCAAAAAAAAAAAAAAAAUGGGAUGCACAUUUCACUGUUCCUUAAAGAUUACACAGCAUAUUCUUCAUUUAAAUGUUAAAAGAGGCAUCUUAAGAACAAGAUUUUAUGAACCCUUUGUGGAACAAAUGUGAAAACAAUGUUGGAUAAUCAGAUAAACAGAAAUUGGCAAGUAUAUAUUAUUGCAAUAAAUGAAUCUGGGUAAACAUUGGUGUAUUUCUGUUCUAUAGUUAUGGAGAAAAGCCAAAAGGAAAAAAAAUGCACCAGUUAUUCUAGGGGUAUUUCACGCUACUACCAGAAGGCAGAUAAAUACCACAUGCACCUCUGCAUUUUAUAAUUGGAAGUGCAUGAUGUAUCUGGGGUUUCAAGUUAAGGGGGAACUGCUUUCGGAGCAGACCUUAAUAUAUAGUGCAUUCCUAAGGUAUAGAUUUAGCAGCAGGCACUUUUCUGAGCAUGGUCUCCUGGCCUUGUAAAGCUACACAUCUUACCAGACAGAGUCACUAUUGAGGUAGUCAAUUGGCUCCAUAUUCUCAUCAAGAUAGACGUCUGUAGUGAGGGAUACAUCAGUGUCAUGAGCAGACUGGAAGUUGGUCACACUGCGGGCGGGUAUGCCAAGACAUCGCAGCACUGCAAACAAAGACAGAGCGAGAGAGUGACCCCAGAGAAGACCCAACACUGUCCAUAUGACACAGGAGUUCCUUCGGACGAGUGGUAUUUCUUCAGGAUCUCCACGCUGCUGCUCCAAGCUGCAGGAGACACUCCGUCAGAGUAAUCCCCAGACCAGUUCCCUACCAGGACUCCAAGGUCAUCCUGAGCGUUUAUCUAAGAAGAGGAUGGUGACCCAGUCAAUUGCAAGUCUUCUCUCCUUCCAAUGUGAUCUGUGUAAACCCUCUGUCCUGUUCACACCCACUGCCAAUCUUACCUUCACACCAAGGGUUGAAGAGCAUGAUGAUGUUCUUGCUGGAGUUGUGAGUAGUUGUUGCCUCGCCCUUUGAGGAGCUAGUUGUCACCGUGAGCCCAUACAGACCACAUACGGCAUUGGCUGGCGAGUUGACAGACAGCUUGAUUUUGCUGCCGUUCUGCUCUACAAUCUUGGCUUCCCAGCGUUCAUCCUCCAGGCUUUGGCUUGGGAGAUUCUGGGCCCGUCACGGGGAAGAGAGGUUUGAUCAGUUCCACCUUAUCUGUAACAUCAUGGGAGAUGCUGCUCUGGCGUUUACAGCAGCAUGGACACAUCUUCCUGAACCAGCGGCG